rnacentral:lncRNA from 1 species
GGCUAGGGGUCGAAUCGGAGCUGUAGCCGCUGGCCUGCGCCAGAGCCACAGCAAAGCCAGAUCCGAGCGGUGUCUGUGACCUACACCACAGCUCACAGCAACGCCGGAUCCUUAACCCACUGAGCGAGGCCAGGGAUCGAACCCGCAACCUCAUAGUUCCUAGUCGGAUUGGUUUCCGCUGUGCCACAAUGGGAACUCCUACACAUAUCCAUUCUGAUUCUUUUCCCACGUAGAUUAAAACAUAGUUGAUUUACAAUGUUGUGCCAUUUUCUGCUGUACUGCAAAGUGACCCAGUUAUACAUACUCAUUCCCUUUCUUAUAUUGUCUUACAUCAUGGUCUAUCCCAAGAGAUUGGACAUAGUUUCCUGUGCUGUAUACCUGAGAACCUCCAUAUGCCAAGACAGCAACCCUAAAGGGCCCCCCCAAAAAAAAGAAGUGCCAAGAUUUACAAUUGGCAAAAUGAGACCCAGGAAAGUCAAAGGCUAAGUUCCAGCCUGAGUCCCAGGCUCAUGGGGGGUGGGGAGGGAAGACUGAUGUUCCAGCUUGAAGACUGGCAGAGAGAGAGAGACAGAGAAUUUUUCCUUACGCAGCCUUUUAACUCUAUUCAGAUCUUCCUUCUAAGGCAAAGGAUAAGUUGUUGCUCUAAACCCUCUUACAGUUGAAAAAGAGGCACAACACCAGCUGGGCCUCUUUGGAUUUUGGAGGUAACAUAUUCCUCCUGUGAUGUGUUACUCCAGCCCAUUUACUGAGGAAUCUGAAAAAGCAAUUUUUUUUUUUUUUUUUUAGAGCUACACUCAAAGCAUAUGGAAGUUCCCAGGCUAGGGGUCAAAUUGGAGCUAGAGCUGCUGGCCUAUGCCACAGCCAUGGCAAUGUGGGAUCUGAGCCACGUCUGCAACCUAUACCACUGUAUCCCAAACCCAUUGAAUGAGGCCAGGGAUCAAACCUGCAUCCUCAUGGAUACUAGUAGGAUUCAUUUCUGCUAAGCCACGAUGAGAACUUCCAAAAUGCACUUGUUUUGAAUGGGCCCUAGAACAAGAGAAGCUCCACAUCAGUCCCAGCUGCUGUGCAAGCUGCUCUGCCAUUCAGUCCACAGGAUCCAGCAGGUCCAGUGGGGCUUAGACUGUCAUGGCAGAGAGGGAUGUUGUUUGGAGCUUUUGGUGGCCUCUGUGGGUGAAUCACAAGUCAGGCCCUUAGGAGUUCUCUGAGAACCUAGACUAGUCCAUAGCUGCAGUUUUCCUCUUUAGCCUCUGAAUUCACUGCUGCUUACUCUGUGUUCAUAGGCCCUCUGGCCUCAAAGUGAGCCAGGCAUCCACUCUCUUUUUCCCCCAACAGCAGGGAACACACAUCAGACUCUCUGCAUGGCAUCCUAAAAUUUGGAUUAAGAGAUAAACCAAAAUACCCCUUAUUCCCUUCCUGCAGGGUUGGUGGAACUCAGAGCACUCCAAUGCUCAAUCCAAAGACAUCCUCUUCAUAAAUCCUUUGAAAUGUCCGACAACUCAAUCCUGUUCAUAUCCUCUCAAUGGUUGUUGGAUACAAUAUUUGGAUAUUGUUUUUUUUUGGCUGCACCUGUGGCAUCGACCUGAGCCACAGCAGUGACAACACAGGAUCCUUAACCACUAGGCCACCAGAGAACUCCAGGAUAUUACUUUUUUUUAUUGCCUUUUUUGGCCCCAUGGCUCAUGGAGUUCCUGGGUCAGGGAUUGGACUCGAGCCACAGUUGUGACCUACACCUCAGUUGUGGCAACCCUGGAUCUUUUAACCCACUGUGCCAGAUGGGGGAUAGAUCCUGCUCAGUGAAGCUGGGAGCCAACGUCACACCUGUCACAUUCUUAUCACAGGAAACAUCUGGGUCAAGGGUGUGUCCUGCCUUCCUCAACCCAGGCUGGGAGAAUAGGAGGCAUGUGACUGAAAUCUCCUCGACUUUCUACUCCUUCCUUCUCUCUCCAUAAACUGAUUAAAUGGGCUUUUUUUCCCUUAAAAAACAACAACAACACUUUUCUGCUGCUUCUAAUCCGCAUGUGAUGAGCUCAAGGCACUUGUUAUUUAGGCUCAGGUGUUUGGAACAGCACACAGUAGGACCUUAUUCUAGGAGUUUUUCUCAGCAUCGACACUCAGGUCUGAUUGGGACCUGGCUGAUUCAGAUCUUCUAGAAGAGGCAGUGAUGGGGACAGGGUUGGGUUGUCAAAUGAAGACACAGCAGUGCCUGCCUCCUGAAUGUGUCCUAAUCGCCGUCCUAUUGUAUGGCUUUCACAGGCAAUGUUUUCAAAGGAUGUAAAGAAGAGGAAGGGAAAUAACUUAAGAUCUGGCUAGCUUCAUACUUUUUAUUUUAUUUAUUUAUUUAUUUUGUCUUUUGAGGGCCGCAUCUGUGGCAUAUGAAGGUUCCCAGGCUAAGGGUCUAAUUGGAGCUGUAGCUGCUGGCCUACGCCACAGCUCACGGCAACGCUGGAUCCUUAACCCACUGAGCAAGGCCAGGUAUGGAACCCACAACCCCAUGGUUCUUAGUCAGAUUUGUUUCUGUUGCAUCACAGUGGGAACUCUUUUUUUUUUUGGCUAGCUUCAUACUUUUUAAUAUUUAGACCAAUUACAUUUGUCUCCAAAAGGAAUACAUGCUUAUUGUGAAAACUUCGAGCAAUAGGGAAGGACAUAUAUCAAAAGGCUCCUUGAUUCCUUCCCUUCUUUCCUCCUUCACCCUAGGUGUGAGCUCUGGGAGGAUCUGGUGUGCCUCCUUCCAUAUCUUCCCUCCCUCCCUCUCUUUCUCUGAGAAGGGAUAAUGUGUGAAGUGGCACCAGCUCUCAUUCUCCCAGCCCCCACUCCCUUUUCUCUGGAUCCCUCCUCCCCUCCCGAUUUUGGAAGGCAGAUGGGAGGGACUCAUGGCUUCGAGGAAGCAGUCAUGGUGGAAUCAGAGAUGAAAUGUGCCAAUUCUUGGGUUUUAGUCUAAAAACUUCUCAUCCCAGAUAUGAAAUAGAAGAGACAGAGGAGAUUAUGUUUUGGCAGUUUUUCUCCCUCUUCUCAACCUCAGACUAGAUGAAGAUGAGGCAGAGGAAGAGGGAAGAUUGGGAGGAAGUAAUAGAAAAACAGUCGGGGUGUCCAAAGGGAGUCUCCUUGCCCUCCCCUGGGGGUAAGAUGCAGCAUGUGAGGGUGCUGCAGAGGCUCAGGGUAGAGGCUGGGGACUCAGGGGCUCAGGAGUCAGUGAUAAACCUCCAUUUGGAGAUUUGGAGAAUAGAUACCUGCCCCCACUCUUCAAAUGUGAUAUGAAGUAGGCCCCUAAACCUAAGGGCCAAGGUAAGGAAAGAAAACUUCUGUGAUAAGUUUAAAUAUAAAAUGCCUGACUUUACCCAGGAUUGACCAUGAUUACAUUUUCUGCAUCAGGAGGAAUGAAGACUCCAAAUAAAGGUAAAAUCGAAUUAUGUAACAAUAACAAAAUCCAUAACAUGUAUACCAGGUGAUAUAUAUAUAUUCAUUUACUAUACAUAUGACUUUUGUUAUAUCUAUAUAUAUUCAUAUAUUUUCUAUUGUAUAAAUAUAUAUAUCUAUACAUAAUUUAUCUAUAUAUCUAAUUUAGGGUCUUUUUAGGUCGUUUCCAUUUUAAAAUCAUUUUUAUAUUAUACACGCAAAAUAUCUAUCUCUCUAUCAUCAUCUAUCUGAUACAUAGAAUUUUUAGGUUGUUUCCAUUUAAAAAAAAAUCCAAACAUUGCUGCAAUGACUAUCUUUGUGCACCUGUGUGACUAUAUGCAGGUCGGAUUCCUAAAUCAGAGGGAUAGUGCAAUGUAAAGUUGAAUUCACCUAUGCUUUUGACUCUAUGCCUCCGUUUUUCUUUUGCAAUAGAUUUUAUCCUGAGAUGGGAUGAAAAUGUAAUAGUUUCAAUUUCUCCCUCUCCUGUAAAGUUAAGAUGACAUGAAUUAUAAGUUUGUCUAUCACCCCAUAGUUGCUGAAAAUUGAAUUUUUGUUUUCCACUCUGUCUUUCUGCCAGAUAUCUGUAGCUAUCUAGAUCAGUGGCUUUUGUUUCAACUUUUGGAGCGUGACUUCCAGAGGAACGCGCCAGAGCCAGAUGCAGUUUCGAGAGGGGCCACUAGGUGUCAAUGUAGGUCUUGGUUGACGCCACAUCGUGGCUGCCUUUAAUUUCGUUCCGUCCCCUUGUGGAACCUCAGCGUCUCUCCAGCAAAAUAACAAAUGUCCGUCGUGCAGGGCACUUUCUUCGGGAAGGACUCUAGGGAGCUCAGGAGUUUGCAUACGAAGCCGAGGGAGCGAGGGGCUUCUGAUAAUGAUAUUCAAUGUCUAACCGAGUCGCUUACAGGCAGAGCCAGGGUCUCUCCGAGCUUUGAUAUAUGAGAUUAUUAUGGAGAAGUAAUGCAGGCCGAAUGAUGCCGUAUGGUGGGCUGUGCACGUGGUCUCCUGUGUAAUUGCGAGGCCUGGCGCGGCCGAGAUGGUUGCUUCACAGCGUUGGGGGAGAGGGGUGCAAUGGGGAACACCAUGGAAGGCCAAGCACUGACUACUCUCUCUCUUCUCUGCAGCUAUGGAUCCCGUCCCUUCCCUGGGGUGCAAGGCUGAGUGUUUCUCCAGGAGCCUCUGAUGGAAUGCAGAGCACACCCCCAGGCCAUCAGUGCCUGGGAGAGAUAGCAAAGGGGCUGCCCAGUGAUUGCUACUCUGGACUCCAGACCUUGGCUGAAUCAGUAUAAAACUUACACAGGAGAGCUCUUCAAUCCAGGCCUUUAUGAAGGUGACAGGAGUAAAAGGAGGAAUGGGCUGGCCCUCUGGAAUGAGGGCUCAGAUGAGGUUCCUCUGCAGUUGACUUCCAAGGACAAUGGCCCCAGGGCUGGCAGAUCCCUAGACAAUUGUCUUUCUUCUCUUCUUCCAGUUUAUCAACCUUCUUCCAUGGGCCGGCCACUGAGACUGGAGUGUUGUACUUUUUUUUCUUCCUUUUUAGGGCUGCCCCUGUGGCAUAUGGAAGUUCCCAGGUUAGGGGUGGAAUUGGAGCUUCAGCUGCCAGCCUACACCGUAGCCACAGCAAUACCCGAUCCUUAAUCCACCAAGCAAGGCCAGGGAGCAUCCUCAUGGAUACUGGUCAGGUUCAUUACUGUUGCACCACAGUGGGAACUCUUUUUUUUUUUUGGUUUUAAGAUUCUUAUCUUUGAACCACACCAAAGGCUUAAAGUGAAUAUUUUAUCCUCUUGCUUUAAUGUGUCUGCUUACCCUGGGGAGGCCCCACAGUCUUAGUAGGUGAGAAUCACCCCCUCAGAGCCUCUGUAUCCCAUCCCCAUGCUGUUCCAGGACAACAGAUGAUUCACCCCUGGACCCAAACUGUUGUCAUUGCCACAGGGCACACCUGCCAAUGUCUGGUCCUAGAUGGCUGGAUGCUUGCCCUCUGCAGAGUGAAUUCUCACCCUGGCAUCAAAGCUAUUUACUCAGUUUUUGCUUACCUGCUUGGCUGUUAACCCUCAGAACCCAGCACAGGCCCAGCCAGUUACCCUGCCAGAUCUGGUCUCCCCUCACAAACCAUGACCCCAGGCCUCAGGCCUUUGGUUAGAGCCCGAGUCCCUACCCACAUUACACAUAGACCUGUCCACCCUGACAGCUUUUUUAUUUUAUUUUUUAUUUUUAGGGCCUCAUCUGUGGCAUACAGAAGUUCCUGGGCUAGGGGCUUGAUCUGAGCUGCAGCUGAGGCUUAUGCCACAGCCACAGCAACACUGGAUCUGAGCAGCAUCUGUGACCUACAUCAAAGCUUGGGGCAAUUCUGGAUCCUUAACCCAGGAGCGAGGCCAGGAAUGGAAACUGCAUCCUCAUGGACACUAUGUUAUUUUAGGUUCUUAACCCUCUGAGCCACAACGAACUCCCUGACAGCUUUUUUAGCUUCAAGUCUGGAUCUUAGACGCUUUAUUCUCAGAAGAUCCCUCCUCCUUCAGACUGUCCAGACUGUCCAGACUGUCUCCUGAGCUCUGGGGCGUCAGGCCGGGACAUACCUUCAUGGUGGUGCAAAAAUCUGCUACACUCCUCCAGGGCAUCAGCAGUAAGGUGUUAUAUACCUAUAUCCCCAAUGAGGCCGUAGCAUCCUCUCCCCAAAUACACACAAGACCCCUUAAUAUGCAUAACUAAGAAGGGUCCCCCAGGUGCCCCAAGGUGACUUGCUAACCUUACCUAAUGGACUAAGAGGCAGACAGUGUAAUUUGGUAAAUUUUGGACUCUGUGUGCUGAUGGACUCUCACACUCUCUCGAUUGCUCUCAUUCCUUGGCCUCUUCUCCCAAAACCUGGGCACUCAACCAAUUUCUGGGGUCUGGAGGUUGUGUUGUUUGCCUUACUCAGUGUUCUUUGCUGCUACAAUUUACAAUGAGGGGGCAUUUUAAACCACAUUGGGUGGGAGGGUCUUCCUCUUGGAUCUGGGACAAAGCACAGGGAUCGUGGCACUUCCGUGGGACACUGUUAAAUAUGCCUCCAGGCUCUUGCAACUGAGGGUAAGGAAGAAGAUUACAGGGGUUCCUGAUAUAACCAUUUUAUGUGCAGUGUCACGCAGAAGGCAACAUAAAUAUGGGUCGCUGGUUGGCAGGCAGGCAGUUGGGGUAUGGGGUCAGCAAAGCAGUGAGGGGGCUUAGAGAGUGCUAGGAGUACAUGAGUUAUGGGCUGGAGAGAGUUCUGGCAGUCUGGAUCAAGCUCUGGAAAGCAUCUAGGACUCCCUCCUAGUGGUACACUGACCUCCAUUUGACGGGUCUGCAUCCCAGAAGUAGGAUGCUGGCCAUUAGGGCUAAAGCAUAGUGAAGCCAGGCGGGAGAUGCACAGAAGGUGAAAGGGACCCCAGGAUCUGGGGGACGCAUUGCGAGCGUCCUUUCCUCCAGUCCCACCUCAGUCCUUAUGCUGGGUGAGACUGGAGCUGUCAGCGCGCCCUCUUGCGGCGGGUGACGCACAGGGCUGUGGGCGGGCCUUGUCAGAGAAUUCCCGAUCCUCGUGGGGGCCCCCUCUCUUCAGUCUCCGUCCACGAGCUCAGGCCCACUUUUGGGGGUUUCUGAGCCUCGGGAAGAUUCCUUCCUCUCAGCACCAACUGAGAUCUGGGCUUUCCUCAGGGUGAGGCUCAGUCAGAGCUCAGGUGGUAUCCCCAGCCAGCACCUCAGUUGUUCCCCGGUGAGCAGGAAGCCCCAAAACAUGUGGAGAGGACAGACUAGAGUGAGGGUGAAACCUGUCCUCUAGGCAUAUGGGCAACUGUGAUCAGUACAGUGGACCUCAUUGGCCACUUAGUCCCCUAAAGGCAUCUCACAGAUGGGGACGCAAGGCCUAGAGACACGGAUGCCCUCAACUCACAGGGGCUUCUUCAGCCCACAGGCUCCUAGGCCUUGCUGUGCAUGUGGUUUCCUUCCUGGUCAUCUUUCAAGUUUCUGCCUUCUGGGUUCAAGAAAUGGAAUGGAUUCCUGGCCUGUCACUGCCUGAACAUCCACAAACAACAUCUGCUGUUGGAAUGCCUCAUGCGGGUGAGGGUCUCCAAGGAGGGACAGGAAUUCCCCCAACAGUGCAGCUGGGACUCACUCUGAUACUGGCUUCUAUUGGAACAAACAUCUGGUUGAAAUGCUUCAGUUUUCCCAAACUGAUCAGUUCCUGGAUAUUAAAGCAUAUAUUAAACCAGACUCACACUGGGCCCCCACUUUUCUUCCACUCCUUCAGCUAAAACAGUUGGCUACUGAAGUUCCUUUUGUGGCUCAGUGGGUUAAGAACCUGACUAGUAUCCAUGAGGACUGGGGUUCAAUCCCUGGCCUCACUCAGUGGGUUAAGGAUACAGUGUUGCUGUGGCUGUGGUGUAGACCAGCAGCCACAGCACCAGUUCGACCCUAGAAGUCUAAGCUCCAAUUUGACCUCUAGCCUGGGAACUUCCAUGUGUCCUGGGUAUGGCCCUAAAAAGACCAAAUAAAUGAAUAAAUAAAUAAAGAAUUGGUUACCAAAUCAUCUUUUUCAUUUUUGGGAAAAAAAAUAAUCCAUACAUUUUGUUUUACUUUUGGUUUCUUCCAUGGUAUGUGAAAAUUCCUGGGCCAGGAUUGAAUCCAUGCCACAGCAACAACCUGAACUGCUGCAGUGAUGAUGCUGGAUCCUUAACCCGCUGAGAUACUAGGGAACUCCAAAAAAUACUCCAUACAUUUUAAAACAACAGCGAGGGAGCAGAAUUGUGGCAGGUAGCAUUCAGUUCAGGCAUAAGAGUCUGCAAGUACUGCUGAAUCACACCAAACUAUGGAAAAGUCCAUUCUGAAAAAACCACACAUUGGACUAAUGCAUGUUAGUUGCUCCAGUUUUUUAAAGAAAUAUGGAAUGCUUCAUGAAUUUGCAUGCCAUCCUUGCUCAAGGGCCAUGCUAAUCUUCUCUGCAUCAUUCCAAUUUUGGUAUAGGUGUUGCCGAAGCCAACACGAUGUUCCAAUUUAUUCAUCGGGGAUAAAAUGUGGUUUGGGUUGAAUCUGUAGCAAAUUUUUUUUCUCUUUUAAAAAAUAACAAAUGA